UAGUAACGGCGAGUGAAGCGGGAAAAGCCCACAUUGAAAAUCCUUUUAUUAGGAAUUGUAGUCUGUAGAAGCUUAUCCAGCUACUUGUCUCGGUUUGAGUCCCUUGGAAUAGGGCAUCCAUAGAGGGUGAGAGUCCCAUUCAUGGCUGAGAAACAAGUAGCGCACGGAUGGUUUUCAAAGAGUCGAGUUGCUUGGGACUGCAGCUCAAAGUUGGUGGUAAAUUCCAUCAAAGGCUAAAUACUGGCGAGAGACCGAUAGCGAACAAGUAGUGUGAACGAAAGAUGAAAAGAACUUUGAAAAGAGAGUUAAAAAGUACCUGAAAUCGUUGAAAGGGAAGUGACGGCUACCAGUGUUUUUGCUUGUUGUUUAUCUAGUCGCAAG
rnacentral:rRNA from 1 species